AGUAACGCGUAAGAAACCUGCCUUUCACACCGGGAUAGCAGCUGGAAACGGCUAUUAAUACCGGAUGAUACUUUUCUGACGCAUGUUAGGAAGGUCAAAGAAUUUCGGUGAAAGAUGGUCUUGCGUCUGAUUAGCUCGUUGGUGGGGUAACGGCCUACCAAGGCGACGAUCAGUAGCCGGCCUGAGAGGGUGUACGGCCACAUUGGGACUGAGACACGGCCCAAACUCC
rnacentral:rRNA from 1 species